rnacentral:piRNA from 1 species
UGCUGGCUGGCUCUCACAUAGGCA